rnacentral:rRNA from 1 species
AUUGACUUUAUUUGCGCAGCAUAGGUGGGAGGCAUUGAGUUUAUUCUUGCGGGAAUUUAGGAGCCAUCAGAGAGAUACCACUCUGGUAAUGUUAGAUUUCUAACUUUGUAUCAUGAUCUGGUCAAAGAACAGUUUCAGGCGGGCAGUUUGACCGGGGCGGUCGCCUCCCAAAUGGUAACGGAGGCGUACAAAGGUUUCCUCUGAACGUGUAGAAAUCGUAUCUAGAGUGUAAAGGCAUAAGGAAGCUUGACUGUGAGACCUACAAGUCGAGCAGGGACGAAAGUCGGUCUUAGUGAUCUGACGGUGCUGAGUGGAAAGGCCGUCACUCAACGGAUAAAAGUUACUCUAGGGAUAACAGGCUGAA